rnacentral:tRNA from 1 species
CGAGGUGUGGCUCAGCUUGGUAGAGCGCUACGUUCGGGACGUAGAAGUCGCUGGUUCGAAUCCAGUCACCUCGA